UUAACUCAAAUUUGUAUGGAGUUGAAACGUUUGCCUGCAUUUGCCGCUACGACCACUGUUCCAACUGCAUUCAAAUUUGAGUUA
rfam:Bombyx mori DNA, contig: Bm_scaf18035_contig63245, strain: p50T/Dazao, build 2, whole genome shotgun sequence.